GUCAGAGGGAGGCUGGCAAGUGUGUGGCAAAGAGGGCUCAGGACUCAGGAAAGCAGCUGUUGCGCCGAAGAACCGACUGCGCGACACCCAGGGCCCGGGCCUGCGCGGCUGCAGGGAGACGCGGACACUCACGGGCACAAGGUCCUUGAUGACGUACAUGUGCGGCAGCGGGUAGAUCUUGGAGACUUUGUCGAGGUUGGUGUCAAUCCUGCGGGUGCAGGCCAGAGUGUUGCCUCCAUUGAUGUUCAUUGCACACGAACCACAGAUGCCUGCGGGAGAGACCCGGCCAGGCACGGUCAGCGGUGCCCAGCGUCCACCCCAAAGCCUCUCUCCUGGCCAGGGGCUGCUCUGUCACCAGGAGCAGCACUGACAUGUAAUACACUUUCUGCUGUUUCUCCCUCUCCUAUUCCUGGCCUAGAACGCUGAUGAAUGGCGGGAGCUCUACAGAGCACUCUGUGAUCGUGAGGCGGCCGCGGGGUGACAGGCCGCACACGCUGAGGGUGGCUGUGCAGGGAGAAGCAGCUGGGGCACUGCUGGCCCCGGGACUUCCCACACCACUGCUAGCUCCAAGCUAGAGUCAUAUGUUUUCAGAGGGGAAGUGGCCUUGCUUUGUUAGAGGCACUGUUAUUGGAACUCAGAUUCUAACAGAUAGGGAGAAGGGAGGGAGGGCUGUCCGGAAAGGGGAGAUGGACGCGAUCAAAACGUGACAUAGGUAUGAAAUGCUGGAGUGACAGCCAGCACUUUAGGAAAUCGGUGUAUCCUGAUAAAAAUACUGACAGUAGGCUCCCACGUAUCCCCUACCAAAAAAAAAAAAAAAAAAAGACAGAAAGAAAGAAAAGAAAAAGAGAAAAACAAGGCCCAUCUAGCACCUAA